AUAACAACCAUGCUCCCCAGGAAGGAACUUUUUUAUGUGAAAAAGAAGUGUUACUACAGAGGCUGCGUAUGAUAGGGCUGUGCUGUGUUCUUUGUUUCAACCCACUAGGAGAACAUCGGUGGAAAAUAGUUUAUGCCCAAUGUCUCAGAAGUACUGGAUCAAGUUCAGCCUCUGAGGACAGGCCUGACAUGAAUACCAAGUAAUCAAGACUGAUGGACAAGAGAAGGCUUCAAUGACUGCUCAGACCAGUUGCCCUGGUGCUUUAAUCUGGGAUCAGCACAUGAAGAGCUGUACUUAAAUGUGAGCUAUGUUUCUGUAGAGCUGUAGAAUUUACUGUGUGGUCUAUAUGCCACUGGCAGGAAAAAAAAAAAAAUCUCAUAUCCUGAGUUUCAGUGGUCUUCCAGACAUGGCCACAGCCUAUAUUCCAGACUAAUUUGUCAGCUGUAUACUGAACAUCUUAACAUACUCCUGAGAUGUCCUUGAAAUAAAAGCCACAUCAUAACUUUUAUGGUGA
rnacentral:lncRNA from 1 species